rnacentral:lncRNA from 1 species
AGGGGGAGCUGAACCCAUAUAGCCCAUGGGUGGUUUAGGACGAUAGAGCUACACAACCCAGGUAAAGAUUUUAAAUAGCAUGCUAAACCCAAUUCCCUUUCCCGGCAUAGUUGUAUAUGUAUGUUUUGUGUGCAUAUGGAUAGUUUUACUUGGUUUUAUAAAUGGCAUUAUUUUAUCCUUAUCCUAAGUUCAUGCUCGUGUUCACCCACUAAUGCAUCUUCAGGCAGCUGUGUCGCCAC